GCUGCAGCUUUUGAGUUUUUCAUGACCCUUAGGCAAUCUCAAUCUCAGUAUACUGUGGGGAGCGGUGUCAGCCAAAAAGCUUCAUUUUAAUUUUACCCUUUGUUAUAAAUGGCCAGGAGACUAUGUAAUGGGGAACCGUGUCUCUCCACUAACUCCGAUGUUUCCCUUUAGAGUUUGCCCUAGUAACAAGGUGAACCUUCUGUAACCCCAGGAAACAAAGUAGCCCAUGAGGGCGAGGAGUGUCUAGAAAACGAGCAACAAAUGAAGCAGGUGUUUUGGAUAAAGGUCAUGGUUAAUGACCUAACUCACUGAGUGUAUAAAAGAGAGGUGAAAAUAAACUUGCUUGCUCGGUCUUGGGAGCCCUCCUGACACUGUCUCCUCUCUUGAUUUUUUCCUCAGUCCUCCUUUCCCCCAUUCAGGAACUGUUCGACUGGUGACGGCUGGUCCGUCACAGGUGGCACCCGAACAGGGACCUGAAUACGAGGGAUACCAGAGUGAAGGACGCCGCAGGAAUACGAGGGCGCUCGGGAAGGACAGCUGUGGAGAUGCUUGAAGACACAUAAUGUCUCUGUGAGAAGACACGUCUACUGCCCUUCAUAGCUUCAGCAUCCCUGGAGUGGACUGAAGACAUCAGCUGAAUGGAGAGCCCAAGUGCUAUUUUGAUGAUCUGGAUCUACAGCUUCUCUUUUGUGUGGUAUCGCUACAUUUUUGUUAAUGCCGGAACCAGGAUGUAUCCAAGUUGUUCCCUGUUUUUUGUAUACUCCAGGACAUCUGGAUGAGAAGCCAUGGGAGAUAUCGGCAAUGUGGUGGUAAUCCUGAUCAUUUUGCAAAGUACAUAAAAUCAACUCAAGAUAAAUCUGGGGGAAAACGAAAACUCCAAGUAAGGAUAGCAUUUGGAAAUGAGGGUGUAAUCUUCAUCAUCAUCCACCAGAGGGCACCAUCUCCUCGUGAGCCUGUAAAGGACCCUCACUCUCCCUUUGGAAUUGAUCUAUGAAUUUAAAAGAAGUGUAUAAUUGAUAUUGUGUAAUAGGAGGAAAAGGUCUAAAGGAGCAGGGGAAGUGGGAGGGGUAGGGGAAAGGAAAGAAAGGAAAAGAAAAAAUAUGAGAAAAGAAAAAAAUGGAAACAAAGUCUUGCAAAUAU
rnacentral:lncRNA from 1 species